UUGAUUUUACCACAUUUUAACUAAUGUUUAACUAAUCUAAUCUCAUUUAAUGUCUCUGUUUAUAGUCUGUAUAGUUUAUCUCCCCACUAACAAACUUAAAGUAGUCUUAAAAUAAAACCCACAAAACAGUUCAAGAUGAAAUACUUUUUAUUUGCUUAUGUAAUACCAGUUGCCAUAUUUUUCUGUAUGUCACUCAUUCGCUUAUACAAAAAGUACCAAUUUGUACACUAGUCUAGUGUAUUUGUUCCCUCUAUCUCUCUAUGUCUCUCACACACAGAGACUAACACACAGACAUGUAUAUACUCAUUAUUGAUGUUCAAACUGAUGGUCAAAUUUCCAAGCACCACCUGAAUGCCUCAUCUGUUUUCAACCCAUCACUGAACCAACUGUCGUCAUUCCGCUUUGCUCUCUGCUGUGGAACUUGACUCACAUCUGUGCUUUGCCUGUGUGCAGAAGAAGAACAAGGACCAGAUCUCCAGUCUUCUCUCUCACAUCCCAACCCCCCAACCCCUCUAUCCUCUGUCCUACUCCACCUGUUGUUUCUGCCUUCUUUCCAUCUGUAUUUCACCCUGUGGUUUGUGAGAAAUUUUGCCAAACCAAGAAUCUUAUUGCGGUUUGAUUUCAAAGCCGCGUCUCUAAUUUUAGAGUUCGAAGGAACUCUAAUUCACGGUUUAAUUGGGAUUUCCCAGCCGUGUCUUUCCUGCUCUGUCUGUUCUCUCUGCUAAAUUUUCUCUCUACCUGUUUUUCACUCCUGGCUUGCUGCUGAAUAAUGCCAAGCCAUUAAAGCAAUAAAGAGUGCAUAUUGCCUCUACCUGAGAACAAACUGAACAAAUAAAGAAAACUCUAAUUCACGGUUUGAUUGUGAUUUCCCAGCCGUGUCUCUCCUGCUCUGUCUAUUCUCUCUUCUAAAUUUUCUCUCUACCUGUUUUUCAUUCUGGGCUUGCUGCU